GUUUUGGGGGUCAGUUUUGGGGUUUUUGGGGUCGGUUUUGGGGUUCUGGUUUUUGGGGUCGGUUUUGGGGUCAGUUUUGGGUUUGGGGGUCAGUUUUAGGGUCAGUUUUGGGGUCAGUUUUGGGGUUUUUAGGGUGGUUUGGGGGUCAGUUUGGGUUUUUUUUGGGGUGUUUUUGGGUUUUGGGGUUGGUUUGGGGGUUUUUGGGUUUUGGGGUCAGUUUUGGGUUUUGGGGUCAGUUUUGGGGUCAGUUUUGGGGUCAGUUUUGGGGUCAGUUUUGGGGUUUUGGGGCUCAUUUUGGGGGUUUUUGGAGUCUGUCAUGGGUUUUUGGGGUGGUUUUGGGCUCAGUUUUGGGGUUUUAGGGUCAGUUUUGGGCUGAGUUUGGGGGUUUUGGGGGUCAGUUUUGGGGUUUUUGGGGUCGGUUUUGGGGUUCUGGUUUUUGGGGUCGGUUUUGGGGUCAGUUUUGGGUUUGGGGGUCAGUUUUGGGGUCAGUUUUGGGGUCAGUUUUGGGGUCAGUUUUGGGUUUUGGGGUCAGUUUUGGGGUUCUGGUUUUUGGGGUCGGUUUUGGGGUCAUUUGGGGGGUUUUUGGGGCCUCACCGCCAGCAGCUGGUUCUCGGUGAGGUUCCAGAAGCUCUUCCAGAAGCCGACCUCCAGGUUUUGGGUCAGGCGCUCGAAUUCGGCCCCGCGCAGCUCCGGGUCCAGGGCGUAGCGGCCCCCCGAGAACAGCGAGCCCGCCGCCGCGCCUGCCCCAUAGCGACCCACAAGUGACCCACAAGUGACCCAUAGCGACCCACAAGUGACCCACAAGUGACCCAUAACUAACCCAUAAGUGACCCAUAAGUGACUCACAGUGACCCACAAGUGACCCACAACUGACCCAUAGCGCCCCAUAAGUGACCCAGAACUGACCCAGAACUGACCCACAAGUGACCCAUAAGUGACCCACAAGUGACCCAUAAGUGACCCAUAAGUGACUCAUAAGUGACCCAUAGCGCCCCAUAACUAACCCAGAACUGACCCAUAAGUGACCCACAAGUGACCCAUAAGUGACCCAUAACUAACCCAGAACUGACCCACAACUGACCCAUAAGUGACCCAUAGCGACCCAUAAGUAAGGGACCCAGAAGUGACCCAUAAGUGACCCACAAGUGACCCAUAACUAACCCCUAAGUGACCCAUAAGUGACCCAUAGCGACCCAUAACUAACUCAGAACUGACCCAUAAGUGACCUAUAGCGCCCCAUAAGUGACCCACAAGUGACCCAUAAGGGACUGAUAAGUGACCCAUAACUAACCCCUAAGUGACCCAUAAGUAAGGGACUCAUAAGUGACCCAUAAGUGACCCAUGACCCCAUACAGACCCAUAAGUGACCCCUAAGUGACCCCUAAGUGACCCACAAGUGACUCAUAAGUGACCCACAACUGACCCAUAAGUGACCCAUAGCGCCCCAUAACUAACCCAGA
rnacentral:lncRNA from 1 species